rnacentral:piRNA from 1 species
GUGGCAUGCAUUGAAGGAGCCACACCCUAC